AUGAUGAACCAAAGUCUAUACACACCAAAAGCCUCAUGCUAUAUUAUUUCCUUACCCCCUUCAAGGUCAUGUAAUUCCUUUUGUUAACCUAGCAAUCAAACUUGCAUCCAAUGGCUUCACAAUUACCUUCAUAAACACUCAAUCAAUUCAUCAACAAAUAUCGAAAGCCGGUCGAUCGAACGUUAUUGAUAACGAGAGCAACGAUCUUUUCUCAGGUGCACGCUAAUCAGGCCUUGAUAUACGAGAUGUGUCUAUUUACGAUGGUUUUCCUGUAGAUUACGAUCGUUCAUUUAAUCAUGACGAAUUUUUUGAAAUGUCGAUGAGGUUGUUGGAAAAUUGAUGCUCUCAAAUCCAUCACCAAAUAUAUUGAUUGGUGAUACUUUUUAUGUAUGGUCAUCAACCAUAGCUAAAAAGUAUAGUCUUGUGAAUGUUUCGUAUUGGACGGAACCAGCUCUUGUUUUUAGUGUUUAUUAUCACAUGGACCUUCUAAAGCAAAAUGGACACUAUGAUUGCAUUGAGAAUAAACGUGAGGACAUCAUAGAUUACAUACCAGGAGUGAAGGCUAUAAAGCCAACAGAUUUACCUUCUUAUCUUCAGUCUGAUGACACAAAUAUGGUGGUCAAUCGAAUAAUCAAAAGGGCAUUCAAAGAGGUGGAAAUUGUAGAUUUUAUUAUUUGUAACACUAUUCACAAACUCGAGCCUGAAAUCAUAACCGCGUUACAAAAAUAUCUCUCUAUUUAUUCAAUUGGAUCAAUUUUCUCCCCUGGAUUCACCAACACCUCAGUGUCAACUAGUCUAUGGUCCGAAUCCGAUUGCACCGAUUGGCUAGAUACCAAGCCACAUGGCUCGGUCUUAUACAUCUCGUUCGGGAGCUAUGCUCAUACUAAUAAAGAAACUAUAGUGGAAAUUGCGCGUGGUCUGGUAAUCAGUGAAGUGAAUUUUAUUUGGAUACUUCGUCUUGAUAUUGUUAGUUCAGAAGAGACAGAUUAUUUAUCGAUUGGUUACGAAGAUAGUAUUAAGGAUCGAGGAUUAAUCGUGCCAUGGUGCUGCCAAACGGCUGUCAUUUCUCACACCGCGGUGGGGGAAUUCCUGACUCAUUGUGGAUGGAAUUCGAUUAUGAAAAGCAUAUGGUGCUCUGUUCCGUUUAUUUGUUUUCCCUUGCUAACCGAUCAAUUUAUUAAUAGAAAAUUAGUAGUCGAUGAUUGGAAAAUUGGGAUUAAUCUUUGUGAUAAGGGUUCAAUUUCGAGGGAUGAAGUGGCAGAGAAAGUGAAAUUUCUGAUGAAAGGCAAAGAAGCAGAGGAAAUUAAGCAACGGAUUAAGAAAAUUAAGAAGGAAUUAGAGGAUGGAUUAGCAUUAAAUGGAUCAUCUCAAGUGAAUUUUUCAAAGUUUAUGGAUGAUUUAGAGUCCAAAAUGUCAAAGGAAAAUGUGUUGGACGUAGAAUUUGAGAAUCAGAAAUUAAAUCAUAUUGCAAAAUGAUUAUAAUGUCGCCCCUUCAAAAUAAGAGUUUACAAUAAGGAAUAAUAUUGUUAAUUAUUUA